rnacentral:rRNA from 1 species
CCUUCGGGAGGCAGCAGUGGGGAAUAUUGCACAAUGGGGGAAACCCUGAUGCAGCGACGCCGCGUGAGUGAAGAAGUCUUUAGGUAUGUAAAGCUCUAUCAGCAGGGAAGAAGAAAGACGGUACCUGACUAAGAAGCCCCGGCCAACUACGUGCCAGCAGCCGCGGUAAUACGUAGGGGGCAAGCGUUAUCCGGAUUUACUGGGGGUAAAGGGAGCGUAGACGGUUGGGCAAGUCUGAAGUGAAAGCCCAGGGCUCAACCCGGGGACUGCUUUGGAAACUGGGGAGCUAGAGUGCUGGAGAGGCAGGUGGAAUUCGUAGUGUAGCGGUGAAAUGCGUAGAUAUUAGGAGGAACACCAGUGGCGAAGGCAGCUUACUGGACAGUAACUGACGUUGAGGCUCGAAGGCGUGGGGAGCAAACAGGAUUAGAUACCCGAGUAGUC